rnacentral:rRNA from 1 species
AACGGGUCGUAACACGUGAGCAACCUACCGAAAUGAGGGGGAUAGCCGUCCCAACGGACGGGUAAUACCGCAUAAGCUCUUGUCCAGGCAUUUGGAUUAGAGGAAACCUCCGGGGCGUUUCGAGGGGCUCGCGGCCUAUCAGCUAGUUGGUGAGGUAACGGCUCACCAAGGCGACGACGGGUAGCUGGUCUGAGAGGAUGGCCAGCCACAUUGGGACUGAGAUACGGCCCAG